CUGAAUAUUAGUGUUCGCGGGAUUUGAAAUAAAUUCUCCUCAGAAUCUUUGGAGGAUUCAAAUAGAUGUUUCUCAAUUUUACGUGACCUCCUGUGGCGGAUCCGACCUGGCUAUUAGACUUUAUGCUGGUGUAUUGACUGUCACGUCCGAAAAAUGAGCCUUGCUUUUGGGAUGGACGGGUCUAAUCGCUGCUUGCGAGCUGCUGCCUACCCGCUUUAUAUAUCUUACAUCUUGCCUUCGGAUAUAUGGAGUAGUACGGCGCGGUCGUACAAGAGUUACUCGGUCUGUGAGAUCCGAGUCUCUACAACCACAGCCAGGAUGGCGAAGUUUGGUCACGUAAGACAUCUCCCAGAGUAGCUGGUAUCAGCUAAAAUAAGAUCAGAACUUAGCAAGAUUAUUUUUCCGCGUAUUGCUUAAUGCAAUGAUUAAUGCUGGCUAUUCACACAGUAACAUGGUAAACCGUUGCAUUGGAUGAAUUGUUUCCUGAUGCGAUUAAAUAGUAACUUCAACGAAUCAACUGCCUGAAGGAGUUACAUUAAAUGUUAAGCAAUGACACCAAUGGCGUUUUAGUUUUUUUAUAAUGCCGGUGAAGUUGGUGCUACCCUCAUUUUAAAUUGGGUGUAAUCAGUCUAUCUCCUUUUUUGCACUACACCGGUGUAGCACCAAGAAAAAACGAAAACGCUUUAAGGCACAUGCAUUGCAGUGGUAGAAGGUUUUCAAUUAAUUUUUUAAAAGUUGGUUUUGUUUUCUUUUAUGUUAGGAAAUGCUUCAGUUAGGUAAUUUUUUCCAGACUAAGGGUCGAUUUCUUCACCCUUGCUUAAAGCUUAA